GGGCUGGGGCCGGGACGCGGCGCGAGCUGGACUACCGCGGUCGCUGUUGGUGGCGCCGCCGGGCCUGCGACUAGGUGGCAUCCUUCAGACACUAUAGGCCGUCUCUGCACACGUGAUGCGGGGCUCGGUCACGUUGCCCCCUGGAAGCUUGAGGAUGCGCCAGGUUUGACUCUGCAGGGCGUACGCGCUUUAGGGAUGGAAGGAAGAGGAACGCGGCAGGAAGGCGAGCCCCAAGGUGGAGAAUCGCCUGGGCGCGCAGGCUGCGGCGGCUUCGCACAGCCGCCCUGGGCGCUGCACGGGUCCGCGCGCACCCUGCUGCGCACCCACUCGCGGCCAGCUCCCUACAGAGGAGUGGAGUGACUGCUCGACUACCACCCCUCUUUUAGUGUGAGCGUCUGGAGUCCUGACCGCCCCAGCCAGCCCAGCUACGAUGAACUGUCUAAGAGGAUGUGGCAAGACCCAGAAGUAUGGGUGACCUUAUGUCAGAGGAAGUGGCUUUCUUAUUGCAGCAAAAAUUCCCGUACCAAUGUCAGUGCUAGGUAUGAAAGUUUUCAAGACGCCUACAAGUGGAAAAUGCACUCCUCCCAGCCAAAUCAAGCUUCGCCAGAUUCCUUACAGCUGUGUGCAGUGAAAUGACUAAUGAAAGAGCCCUCUGCUGCUGGUGGAACUUUCACAUAUGGCACUGUUAUGCCACUCAGCAGGACCCGACCCUGGUAUUUACAUAUUGGAUGUCACCCCAAAAGCCCCUGACCAGGGGGUUUCCGGGAUGUAAUAAGAAUGCCACUCUGGGCUUUGGAAGGUGCACCGUAUGCACACCCAUACUAUAGGGCAGGGGUUAGCAUUUCAGACCCCUGUUCCUCCCUUGACAAGCAAGUGCUUUUCUCCAGGGAAGACGUUCAGGUUCAUUCAUAGAUCCAUUGGUGCCGUGGGCAGCUCAGUAACAAUAGCUCUGCUGCCUACCAGCUGCUGGUGGAGGUGUUGAGAAUACCUAAUGAGGAAGUCAGGGCCCCUGCGUGCUUCAGCAGAGCUGGAUGCCUGGCAUGGCAAUCAAUGGACACAAACCUUUGGAUAAUUUCCGUCCUUGGCGGUGUGUUCUAUAGCAUAGGUAUGAAGUGGGUGCUCUGGGAGCUCAGAAGAGGGGCUCUUCUCUUAACUUAUGGGUGGCCAGGGAAGGCUUCCUGGAGCUCAAAUGACUGAGUGGAGUCUUCAACAUUAAAAAAAAAAAAAAGAAAAAAAAAGUGCUUCCCUCCCACCCCCAGUUAAAAAGGUAAUACACCUCAUUGAAAUAAUUUAAACUUUACAGAAAUGUGUUCCUUUAAAGUUCAGAGAGUAAAGAGGAAGUAAUAAAGCUGAAAUAGUAGAAUUUCUAA
ensembl:lncRNA PRDX6-AS1 PRDX6 antisense RNA 1